rnacentral:misc_RNA from 1 species
GAUGCAUUCCUCUCCUUAUUAAGAUGUUGGAGGCUAAAGCAAAUGGGGUGAAGGAGGUCGCUGCUCAAGCGAUUGCUAGCCUAAUGUCCCUUGCGCAUAAUUGCAGGGAAGUCAAAAGAGACGAUAAGAGCGUGCCAAAUUUGGUUCAGCUGCUUGAUCCAGCUCCUCAAAACACUGCUAAGAAGUAUGCUGUUUCUUGUCUUUUCUUGCUUUCCUCGAGCAAGAAAUGC